rnacentral:tRNA from 1 species
GGUAAGGUGGCAGAGUCUGGCUUAUUGCGGUGGUCUUGAAAACCACUGACGCUUUCGGGCGUCCCUGGGUUCGAAUCCCAGUCUUACCU